rnacentral:lncRNA from 10 species
CGCCCAGAGCUGGAGCUGGUCUGCGCAUGCACUUGGAGGCACGGUAUGAACAACCGCAGAAAUGCCGGCCAACUACGCCAGUUCCCAGAGCCCAGCGUUCUCCUCUCUCCUCUUUCAUUGGUUUCCCAGGAAAGCUGCUGAGGGCGGGAACCCCAGAUGCACAGUUUGGCUCAUAAGCGGGCUGCCUUUCACAGCCACCACUACCCACCCGGGGAGAGCACUGGAUUGUGGCAAACGGGACCUCUUUGUGUGAGCAACCAAGGGCCAUAUGCUGCUGGCGAGUGUGGUGGGAUGUAUUUAUAUUGGAUACAGCCUGGAGCCCUGCACUGGAGCUUCUUACUGCCAGGAGAGCUAGUGUGGUGGAGGGGAGAAGCGGUGAAGCCAUUUCUAUCCCAGCAUGCC